GCGGGCGUGGCGGAAUUGGUAGACGCGCUGGGUUUAGGUUCCAGUGACGCAAGUUGUGGGGGUUCGAGUCCCUCCGCCCGCACCA
rnacentral:tRNA from 2 species